UACAGAGGUCUCAAGCGUUGUUCGGAUUCAUUGGGCGUAAAGGGUGCGCAGGCGGCCAAGUGUGUUAGGCGUGAAAGCCUGGGGCUUAACCCCAGAAUUGCACCUAAAACUACAUGGCUAGAGCAUUGGAGAGGGUAGCGGAAUUCACGGUGUAGCAGUGAAAUGCGUAGAUAUCGUGAGGAACACCAGAGGCGAAGGCGGCUACCUGGACAAUUGCUGACGCUCAGGCACGAAAGCGUGGGGAGCAAAAGGG
rnacentral:rRNA from 1 species